UGCUCCUCGCUCCUCAUACGUUCUACUUAAAAAAACAUCCGAACUCGGACCGUUGGAUUCAAAUUUUUGACCGUUAGGAAGAAUUCCUCCCCUUUAUUCGUUGCCAACAUUUUCAAAAACAUUGCAGCGGAGACAGCGAUGAUGACAGCAGCUGUAAACGGAAGGUGGCUUAUGUUUACAGCCCGGAAUACAUCCAGACUUGCGAUAGUUUAUCCAAAGUACCAAACAGGGCAAGUAUGGUCCACUCACUGAUAGAAGCCUACGGACUCCUUAAACACAUGAGGU